GCUGUACAAGACCAGACAUUGCACAAGCAGUGGGAGUGGUUAGUAGGUUCGUGGCAUGUUUAGGUGGAGAGCAGUAAAAUAUUGAUCAGGUGUUGCAUUGCGUUUCAGAGAAUCAGAAUUUGGUGUCAAAGGUUAUUGACAGAUUUACGUAAAUUCGAUUCUACUGAAGUUGAACAGAAGAACAAGCAACACGAAGGCAAAGAUGGUGUGAAGAUUUGAUUAGUUUCAUCAAAAUCUUCAAGUGGGAGAUUAUGAGAAAUGAAGUCCCACAUUGGUGGGAACUUGUAAAGGGGUAUGGCUUGGUGGCUAUAAAAGAAACCCCUUGCCCCCUUUGUUAUAUAUCCCAUUCUCUCCUUUCUUGUAUUCUCAUAAUUUUGAGAAGUUCUUUAGAGAAAGAGAGAGGUGCUGUAAAUUUCUUCCACUAGUAUAAAAUUUCCUUUUUGCCUAUUAUCAAUAUUUUCUCUUCUCUAUUUUAGUUGUGUGUGCUUGUGUUGUAUGAAUGAUACCCAACAGUGGUAUCAGAGCUAUAGGUUUGUAUUCCGCUGCUAUUGUCAUUAGAAUAGUGUUGGUAAAAUUCUGAGUAUGCUCUGUGGUUGCGGUUUAAUCCGAUCUUCCGCAUCAGAAAAGAGUUAUUACUGAAAACGUUUGGUAGUGUGAAAGUGCUGUCUGGGAAAGUUCUGGCUAGGAAAGACUUGGUACUUAAGAGUGUCCGUUUGUGACCCACCUCUCUUUUCUGGGAACUUCUUGGUGCUUUACUUCACGGUCUACCUGUGUUGUUCCAGUAGACAAUACUAUUCAUAGUGAGAAGUGCAUAAGCCGGUUCUUAAAAACCAUGACAACAAAAUACGAGAUAGAGAGGUUCAACGGCAACAAUUUCGCAUUGUGGAAAUUGAAGAUGAAGGCAAUUUUGAAAAAGGACAAUUGCAUAGCUGCAAUUGAAGGAAAACCCGCAGAAAUGACAGAGCAGAAGUGGAAAGAAAUUGACAACAACGCCAUCGCGAAUUUGCACCUAUCAAUGGCAGAUUCAGUGUUAUCCAGUGUGGCGGAGAAAGAAACAGCAAGGGAGAUUUGGGAUGCCCUCAUAAAACUAUAUGAAGUGAAGUCUCUUCACACAAGAAUAUUCUUGAAGAGGAAACUCUACACUCUCCAGAUGAGUGAGUCUACAACGGUGACGGACCACAUCAACCAUCUAAACACUUUGUUUGCCCAACUAUCAGUGGCUGAUUUCAACAUAGUUGAAAAUGAACGCACGGAGCUUCUACUGCAGAGUUUACCCGACUCGUAUGAUCAACUCAUCAUGAAUAUUACGAAUAAUAAUAUUGAAGGUUGUUUACACUUUGAGGAUGUUGCCGGAGCAAUUCUUGAAGAAGAAUCCAGGCGAAGGAACAAAGAAGACAUGCUGGAAAGUUCAAAGCAAACACAAGCUUUGGUGAUGAUGAGAGGAAAAUCAACGAAAUAUGGGUCUAGUGGGAGUCAGUCCCAUGAUAUAUCUCAAAUGCUACAAUUGUGGUAAGAGGGGGCAUGUCAAGAAAGAAUGUUGGCACGAGAAGAGUGGAAGAAAGAACUCUGAGGCAUCCUCACAAGGUUGUAUGGCAAAUACCUCAGAGGAUGAAGAUAUUAUGUGAGAAAGAAGGGAGAUCUGGUAAGUCAUAAAAGCUCAGAAGAUCAUGGCAUAUGCUUAUGGGAGAUACGUUGCAAAAGGCUAAUGCAAUGGUUACAUCGACAAGUCAAGAAGAAGCGGUGUUGACGUGACAUCGUACUUGGACAAAUGUCAAAGUGAAGUUUGCAAGGUAGAACGUAAUCUGUACCCGGGCUUAAACAUAGAUCAGGGUUUGCUAGUUUGACUACCAGAAAAGAAAACACAAGAAGACUUGGUUCAUUCUGAUGUAAGGGAAUCACCGGAGUUAUUCCUAGGAGAAGCAAAGUUUAUUCCAGGUGUUUGAGUGUAUUACAUCAAGAGGAAGUCAAAUGUGUUGUUACCAGUUCAAGAAAACCAAAGCACGAGCUUGAAAUUGGGGAAAGAAUUAAGUGCUUGGGCUAUGCUAACAAUGUGAAGGGGUAUUGCCUGUGAGUUCCACCGCUCACAAGGUUAUUGUUAAACAAGAAUGAAAUGAUGCUCUAACCAGAAGGCUUUGAAGAACAAGAAAACUUGGUUUGCAGGUUGAACAAAUCUCUAUACGGUCUAAAGCAGGCGCCAAGGUGUUGGUAUAAGAGAUUUGAUUCCUUCAUCAUUAGCCUCGGAUACAACAGACUAAGUUCAGACCAUUGUACUUAUUACAAUAGGUUUACAGAAAAUGAUUUUAUCAUUUUAUUGUUGUAUGUGGAUGACAUGUUGGUGGUAGGCCCCAACAAAGCUCUAAUCCAAGAACUGAAGGCACAGUUGGCUAGGGAGUUUGAUAUGAAGGACUUGGGACCGGCAAACAAGAUUUUAGGGAUGCAAAUUCACCGAGACAGAAAAGAUAGGAAGAUUUGGCUUUCACAGAAGAAUUAUUUAUUGAAGAUCUUGCGACGCUUCAACAUGCAAGAUUUCAAGCCAAUUUCUACCCCACUUCCUAUCAACUGUAAGUUAUCCUCAAGUAUGAGACCUAGCAGUGAAGCAGAGAGGAUGGAAAUGUCUCGUGUACCGUAUGCAUCAGCAGUAGGAAGCCUCAUGUAUGCCAUGAUUUGUACAAGACCGGACAUUGCUCAAGCAGUGGGAGUGGUUAGUAGAUUCAUGGGACAUUUUGGUGGAGAGCACUGGAAUACUGUUAAGAGGAUCCUUAGAUACAUCAAAGGAACCUCAAACGUUGCAUUAUGUUAUAAAGGAUCAGAAUCAAUUGUCAGAGGCUAUGUUGAUUCAGAUUUUGCAGGUGAUCUGGAUAAAAGGAAAUCUACUACUGGCUAUGUGUUUACAAUUGCUGGAGGAGCUAUAAGUUGGUUAUCCAAGUUACAAGAUGUUGUAGCUCUGUCUACUGAGUGUAAAGGAAGAGAGUGUUGUAAUUUGUGAGUUGUGAUUGUAAAAAAGGUUAUACCUAUGUUUGUCAAGUGGUGCUAUAAAAAAAUAGUGAGUGAUCAUGAUCAGAAGAAAAAGCUGUUUUGUAUUGGUUGAUUCAUUGCAUGAAGAUCAGGUCCUUUUUGUAGUUGUUUCAACUUUGAAUAUAGCAGUGUGAUAUUGAACUGGUGGAAAAUAUGAUUGGAAACCCUUAAUACAGCAUUUCUACACGAGGUGGAUGGGCUAACUGCAAAUAUGGAUAUUAUUUCAUUUGAUUGUCCGAUUGAGUAAAAUGAAAAGUUAUAAUUGUUUAUUGGAAAUUUGAUUGUUGAUACACAUGUAUUUUGCUGCUAUUUUAUUGGCAAAAAUAAUUGACGGAUCCUUUGAUAGUAAGGAACAGCACGGAAUUGAUAGACAUGCGUACCCUAUACCCAACCGUCGCUGCUCCUCUUUCUCUUUCAAACUUUUCCUUUAGGACCAAUUUCCUUGUUCGAUGCAGUAACCUUCACUCGCAACCGCAACUCGACACGCGCAAGAAAAUUGCAGUUAGUUCUUUCAGUGAAGGAAAAGCUUGAAAAAGAACACCAUAGCCUCCCUGUUGGAAGAAAUGGAAGGGAUGACGAAGAUAUGAUACUGUGGUUUCUCAAAGAUCGCAAGUUUUCUGUUGAAGAUGCUAUUUCCAAGUUGACUAAA